UUAACUAAAGCUAAUAAGUAAGUAUUUCACUGUUAAUGAAAAGAAAGAAGAAAAUAUUCUAGUUAAA
rnacentral:tRNA from 1 species